UCCAUGGACUUAGCUUUGUGCUAGAUCAAUGAGCACAUUCAUGAUUAUUUCAAAUAUCUAUCAUAGUCAUUAUGUACUCUUGCUACUAUUAUUAUUGGUAUUUAGAUGACGGUGAAUUAAGUAGAAAGGAGUUUGUACACGUUUUAAAAUCAAGAAACUCACGCGGUUUGCAAAAGUCACGAGAAUUAGGACUAGCCAAACUAAUGAACUCUGUUGUGGCUUGCUCUGCAAAAGCAGUCAAAGAUAAACUAGGGAUUGAAGCUUGAGCUAGUGCUAUGGUGUGGUCAAUCAAGUCAGGAUUAUGAACAUUUUAUAUUAUAACAGAAAUAUCUUUUAGUGAUGGCAGGAUAGAAUAAUAUUAUAUAAUUGAUUUUUUAUGUACACCCAUUCUGUUUGAGUAGCAACAAUACAGAAACAUAUGAUUAUA